UACAUGGGGUGCAAACGUUGCUCGGAAUUAUUGGGCGUAAAGCGCACGUAGGCGGUUUGUUAAGUCGAUGUGAAAUCCCUCGGCUCAACUGAGGAAGUGCAUCCGAAACUGGCAGGCUUGAGUACUAAAGAGGGUCGCGGAAUUCCCGGUGUAGCGGUGAAAUGCGCAGAUAUCGGGAAGAACACCCGUGGCUAAGGCGGCUCUCUAGUACGGUACGUGACGGCUGACGAACGCGAAAAGCGUGGGGAGCGAACAGG
rnacentral:rRNA from 1 species